UACGUAGGGCGCGAGCGUUGUCCGGAAUUAUUGGGCGUAAAGAGCUUGUAGGUGGCUCGUUGCGUCGGGAGUGAAAACCCGCGGCUUAACCGCGGGCCUGCUUUCGAUACGGGCGGGCUAGAGUUCGGCAGGGGAGACUGGAAUUCCUGGUGUAGCGGUGGAAUGCGCAGAUAUCAGGAGGAACACCGGUGGCGAAGGCGGGUCUCUGGGCCGAUACUGACACUGAGAAGCGAAAGCGUGGGGAGCGAACAGG
rnacentral:rRNA from 1 species